rnacentral:lncRNA from 1 species
GGCUACAUCUAUCUGGGAUUAAUCACUAGCCAUUAUUCGCACAGGUUUACCUUGUGGUAAAUGUUCAAGCAUAGAUUAUGUAACCCGGGCAUAUACAUCUGCGUUCAGCUCCUAACUAUCAUAAAACCAUAUUCGUUAGAACUUGGAAGUUUCAUAUCCAUGCAUAGCUUGAGAGGGCUCCAAGUGUUUUGGGUUCAUUACAUGACCAUACACUAACUUAACAUGCAUGGUUUUUAGUGCAACUGUCUGAUAGCCAAUCUUUUCUGUUUUGUUUUUUGAGAAUGAGCAGCUGGUGAGUGAAAGUGAGAGGCUAAGGUUGAAGAAGCUGGAGGAGCUGAGCAAGAACAUAGAUUCCAUACACUGAUUACAUUUAUAUAGCCUACUGCUGAUAACUGAUUAGGUUUGUGUGAUGUAUUUAAGUAACUUCUUAUAUAUUUUAUAUGGGGUGUUUUUAUAGUUUGGUGCAUUCUAUCCUUGUUUGUUUUAUUAGCAUUUGAUGGAGUCUUUAGUUGAUUUAGGAAAGGGUGAAAUGCCCUAUUGAACAGGUUUGUAACUAAAUGUAUCUUCACUCUACAUUUUCUCACUUUGCUAUUAUCUCCUCUAGUUUUUGUUAAUUUGGGGCUUGCUCUUAAGUGUGGAUUUCAAUGCCACAAUUUGAUUAUUAUUCAUUUAUUUUAUGUAAGUUUUGCAUUUGAUAAUUUAUUUUUGACCAAUGAGGAAAAAACUGUGAGCUGUGAAGCUAUUCUUUUGAAGUGGAGAUGUUGCCCAUUAAGGCUAAUGGGACAAAUUAUCCAUACUCGUGCAAAUUAUAAUUUGGUGAUACUUUAUAUUCUUGCCAUAGAUAGAGCCUUUUAAAAGAAAUAAUUAGAAAAGAAAAGAACAAAUCUGGAGUAUAUUUCUCAAAAUCAGAUUGAUGAACUCGAGGACAAAGAAAGCAAUACAAAUCACACAUUCUACAUGGAUGUGUUCAUGAUUGUAAGUUCACCCCGAGUGAAAAAAAAAAGUUGAGAAAAAAAACAGGGUAAUUAAAGUAAUUAAUGAUGGAUGUGUACCCACCCAGUAGUCUAUUCUGUCUUCCUUUUUCCAACAUAGGAAUAAUAGUAUGUAUAUAUAAUUUUUCAAAAUUGUACUUACCACUUUCAAUAAUUUGUAUAUUUACUUUAUCUUUCAAGAGAAUGGAUUUUUCAUCAGAAGAAACUGAGUGCUUACACAGGAAAAACAAUGGAAAAUGAAAAAGGAGUACUUGCAUUGUAUAGAAACAAACAAGGGAUAUUGUGUAAGAAGAGAAAUUUCAGCUGAUCUUUUAGCAAGUUCUUCACCGGAAACGCCAUGAGAUCUCUAUACAAGACCCAAUUUCUUCUAAGUCUUCUUGAAGAUGAUGACGACGAUUAUGUUGAUGUAGAGAGGACUAGUCCACAAUUUAAAUCACAUUAUCCAAAAGAGGACACGUAAAAAGAAAAAGGAAGUAGGCUAAGGAUUGUAGCCGUUAGAAGGUGGCGAAGUGUGAGUCAAAAAGAGUGUUUUUGGUAAAUGACAAUGGGCCUCUAAACUUUGCUUUAAUCAUUUUGAUGUUGGCUGCUCUCCCUAUUUGCAAUUCCAGUACUACUGCCAAUUAUGCCUGUAAGAAACUACCUUGGAGAUGCACAACUUCUGAAUUUCUCUUGUGAAAAUAUCCGUAAAACUAGACAACUUAGAAUUUACUUCUCAUCAACUCUGCUUCAGUCCGAGCGAUUAUAUUUUGCCCGGUCAAGAUGGGUGUUCAAAUUAGUCAAUCGAGUUGAAUCUAUAGUAUAAAGAAAACUGUCAAAGAAUGUUUUAAUGUUCUUCGAAGUACAGUUCGACAAUCAAGUUAGUUUGAGAUUCAAGAGAAAUAGGGUGAAUAAGUUAAUAUCUUAUGUGUUUCUAUUGAUUAAAUCACAUUACUGAAUUAUUUAUUGUGAUUCUUUUAUAUACGUGC